ACAAAAAAAAAGCAGAAGCUUUUAGUGAAGUUUCCACUCCCAGUUACGGGAAAUCCACCACCACAGCUCACUGUUAGCUGCUAAUAUUCAUCUGGGUCACUACUGAGAAAGCAACAUCUCAAUUCUUGGUAAAGAACCUGCCACCAGCACCUUUAUAUCAGUGGGGCUGUUCCCAGAGGGGAAAUGCUGAAUAUCUUCCUCUCAGGAAGACACUGACCCUUCUCCAUGUCAACUCUAGGACAGAAGACAUAGAUUCUGCUAAAAGGCAUUAGGACACCUUCCAUUAUCCCAGGCUGCUCAAAGAUUCAUCCAAGCUGAGGACAUGCAGGCACCAGAAUCCAGUCCUCAGUUAUGGUGAGAGGGAGAGAUUCAGCUGGAAGAAUGUUGCUGGAAUCAAUUCUGCAUGAGACAAUCCCUGCAGUGGUCACUCCCUAGAACUGUUGGCGUCAGUGUUUAGAUGGCUGCAGCCUAGAUAUCAGGAAAUGAGAUCUGCAGCCACUCAGAAAUGAGAACAUGAAGCUGUUAGUCCCUGGCUGUGCUGUGCAUCCCAACAAGGACACAUCCCAUGGUGGAUCUGCAGGUUUUAGGGAUGGCUCCCUCCCCACAGACACCUGAGGAAAGGGAAGCCCCUCCACCCCACAGGCUCAGAGUGGGAGUGAA